CUGCGUAGCAAGUUUGGAGGCGGUUUUGAAUUGGAUGUGGGAAACUGUACCAUACCUGUCUGCCUGUCCUUGGUGGAGAGCUGCUGAACUUGGCUUUGGGAACGACCAAUUUCAACGUGAAGAAACUCUGUCACAGAUGCACGUCGCCUGUUGGAUGGAGCUCUGUUCAUGUUAGCAAACAUUAGCCUUUAGCUAACCUCAGGCUCAAACAAACAAAGCCAAACAAGACAGCAGCCUCAUGUUCCUGUUUUGGGAUUGCCCAGUUUCGGGGCUAAAGACCAACACAGAAAAUGUGGGAAAAACAGGAACCUCUGAUGCCACUAGAUCAGUUUCUUCUGCCAGUACCCAUCUCCAUCACUGCCACAUCAGCUGGUCCCAAGGUUGUGAGGUUAUCCGAACAUCUGGCCCCUCCGCCAUGUUUUCUAAGUGAAAAUGUUAUCAACGACCAGCAGUGGCAUUCGUAACCACCCUGGUGCCUACUGACAGGCCUGAUUGUUUCCCAGAUGAAUAUCCUAACAUGUGGAUGGCCCUCUGCCAGUUGGGCCUAGCUCGGAGUGCUGAAGUGUCAACACUGAAGAGAGAGGGCCAGAGGGGUGAUGUAAGUAUUGAUACACUCCUUGAAAUCACUUUGUCACCGCCAGAGAUACCAAGCUGCCGGAGCAAAACAAUAGGAGGAAGAUGAAUGUGAAUUCUUGGCAGAGGGUUGAGGGAUGCCAUUAAAAAGGCAAAUGUGAUUAAUUUUUAGCGAGAACGCCCUCGUCUUGGCGAUUGUCAGUGAGGUCGGGCUAAAGGGAUGUGACACAGAAAUUACUCUUCCUCCUAGCGUCUAAUGUGACUCGUCACUCUGAGGAAAUAUCUGGGAGACGGGGAGACUGACAAAAAGGCUCUCAUCUAAUAGACUAACUAUUUGUCCAGAGCUCAUGUGGCAGAGAUCUGGCUUGAUAUCGCUAAGUGAUCUAUUGCUUAAACACCGCAGAUCACUUUUGAUUCAACACAAACAAAAGCUUUCCAUUUCAAACUGUCACUGAGGGCUUCAUCACAUUUGUAUGGAUGAAGGACAAACACAUUUUAAUACAAUCAGGGAAGCGUUAAGUAAAGAUACAAUAGAUUCUUGCUGUCAUUGUACUUACAUUUUGUCCUUUAAAAAAAAAAAAAAAAAUGAACACUGUGAAUUUCCCUUUAUGUGUCAGUGUUGUCAGGAUUGUUCUUUAAACCUGUUUGAACUGAGACUUUCCCCCCGUGGAGUGACAUUUUCCAGGCGACACCAUAGUGCAGGCCACACUUUAUCCCGACCGCUUCGUAAACACGGCAGGGCUGCAGCACUUCCACCGCUGCCUCGGCCUCUUCUGUACAAGUGCUAACAACAGAGGACAGCAAAGAGGUCACACUAAAGAACAGUUCACUUGGAAAAUGCUUUUUGAUGUCCCAACUUGUCAACACAGUCCUGACCACAGAGCAUGAUUUCGCUGAUUGCCACCCCCCUUUCUACAAUGACCCUUUGAUUGUCAUUCGAAGACGGUGUAUGGGACAUGCUUGUCAUGUUAAUAAAGACAUUAAACCACAUGUAUCCCUCCACCAUAAAACAAAGUCCGGACCUGUCUGGGAAUAUAGAUCUCUAAUUGGUUUUGCGUGGUGGUGUAGCAGAAUCGUGCUUUCCAGAUGUCACCUCUGCCAAACCCCAGUGCACGUCACUGUCAAUAGGCCUGAGAAAUCUCCCUAACAAGCUUGCGAUUACAUAAAUCUAUAGCUGUACUCGUGCCAAAGAGACUGAACAACUUCCAAGGAGACUUUAUGUUUGAUGUUCCAGGGCUUGAUUGCAUUUUGGAAAAAAAAAAAGAGAGAGCCACUAUAUUGGGAAUGUGUCCAAACAGUCUAGGUUUGCUAAUUUUGUCAUAGUCAAUUUCAUAGCACAGUCAUAAGGAUGGGCAGCGAUGGAAUGAAGUUCCUGAGUGCUUUGCAGAGGGGCGUGAGUGGGUUUGACAGGCCCAGUGAAAUAUGCUCCGCUCUACCUUUUUUCAUUACAGGAGCAGGGACCAAAAAUGCAAAUCCAGGGUCCUUUCUUGAGAAGUCAUUAGAAAUGUGACACAUCAAACAACUGGCUUCGAGUGGCAGACCAAAUUUUACAUUAUUGCUACAUCAUUGUUUUCAUAUUUUAAUUUCUGAUAUGAUUACUGUGGCUUUUCAGACUUACAUUUUCAAUAAAGAACUGUUUUGCUUUGA